rnacentral:lncRNA from 1 species
CCUUGGUGCGUUCCCCGUGCUGGCCGCCGCCGCGCUCGCUCCCCGUCGCUGGCUUUAGGAGCGACCCGGCCGGUAAAUCCGCAUAUUUGCUGCCGUCAGCCCCGGGAGGGGACCGCGGAGCGUGGCUGCAGCUCCCGCCGCACCACCGAUCACCUGUCUGGACUCUCGGCCCGGUACCAGCUACCGCCUCGCCUCUCCCUGAGGGCUCCGGGCAGUCCGGAGAGCCUGUCCCCGGGCCUUCCUCUCGCCGCUGCCGCCCCGGGCCGGGCACGGCGCGGCCCAGCACGGCGCGGCCCGGCGGCCUGCGUGCGCCCCUCCGCGGCGCGCCCUCGGCUACGGCGCGGCGCUCCGCCCUCCGCCCGCCGGGGCCGGGCAGCUCCCGCGGCCGCGCCGCCUGGCAGCAGCCUACCCGCCCGGGGCCUCGCUACGCCGCCCGCGCGGGCCGGAGGGCGGGCGGAGGGCCGAGCUGGCGCCGCUGCCGCCGCAGCAGCAGCCGCGGGAAGACCAGAGGAGGAGGUGGAGAAGAAGGCGCAGGCAGGCCGGGCUCCAGGAGUUGAGCGGGCUCCGCAGGACGCGCGUGUGGAGCCGGCCGGCGACAGGGAGGGGGUUAUAGCGCCGCCACCGCGCCCCUCCCCCUCCCCCGCCCCCCGCCUCCCCCGGAUUCCGGGCCCGGGACCCGCACCUCGGAAGCGCUCAGGGGUCUCGCGGGCCAGAUCGGGCCCGGCCGCCACCGCCACUGCAGUGGCCACACACGCGCUCACGCAGGCAGCUACAUCCAUCCAAGCUCGGCGCCCGCGGCUCGGAGCCCACAGGCGCCCGGGCUCCCGGAGCGCCCCUCCCUCGAGCUUGCCCACCCUUCAGUGCCAGCUGCAAUCCUGCGGCACCGGGCGGGGAGGGGAGGAGGCCGCUGCAGAAGCACGGCCGUCUCUGGCUCGCCUCUCUCUCGGGCCCCAGCGGCAGUAAAGGGCAGCGCCCAGAGCUGCUGCGCCAAAAAGGGCAUGAGAGUCGGCUUGGCCCCCGCCCGGCGCUCGGGCCGCUUCCCACUGUAAGGAUCCAGUGCUCCAGCCUUCCCCUCUCCAUAAAAGGAGGGGGAGUGAGUCUUUGCGGAGAGGCGGGGCGGGUUUAGGGGCGCGUCUAGGGCACUCACCUGACGGCUGCCACGCGCCCGCGCCCCAGAGCCAAAGCCUGGGACACCUGAUUGAGGAACUUGCACUCUUGUGUGGAGGUGGAAGCGAGGCUAGGGUCGGGGAGGAGGCUGCCUCCUGCCUCAUCGCCACCUUGACACCCUGCACCCUCCAGAUCCUUAGCCCCUGGCCGAAGGCCUAGCCGAACCCUGAAUGGGGAGCUGGAGGGAUAGAAGGAAAGAUAGAAAAGAAGCGGCUGGUGAGGAACUCCUGGGUUCUACCUUGGGAUCCAAGGCAGCGCAGAGCGCCACCUCCGGCCAAGGCACAGUACAGACGGGUGGCGGGGAAGGCACAUGCGGACAGAAGUCUGAUCAGGGCUGGACGGUUCUCCCAUUGAGAGAGAUGGAUUCCUGGUGGGAUGUGACCCGACGGCAAGGCCAGUCCUGUCAGCUCCUUAACUCGGGUUAGAGGAUUGUGGACCUUUCAAAUCCCAAAGUUAGCCUCCUAGGGCUCUGGAGACUAUGGAGGGCUCCAAGGGUAGGGAUGCAACUGGAUACAGCCUGUCCAGUUCACUCCCUUUCAUGUGAAUUAACCCGUGCACCCAGCCCGGGUCCAAUCCCCCACCAAUCUUCUUUGUCCCCAGACAAAGGCGCAGCCGGGCAGGAGCCUUUCAUCCCCAGCUUCCCGGGUUCCUGCAUUUCAAAGGCUGAGCUGGAAGGGCCCAACACGGGCGGCUCACCUAGCUCCAAAUACCUGGUGGGCGUGGGGGGAGGGGGUAGCUGAAGAUCUUUGGAGCCCAAAUCUACAGACUUCCUUAGGCCUGUAGGCCCCAUCACCACGCCCCAGCCCUAACACCUCGGGAUGCUCAGGAGAUAAGAGGACACCCUCUCUUGGCCUAAAGAGGGAGUAUGGAAAACGUUGAGAAGCGCCCCACCUCGAGGUCUUCGAAAGCCCAGGCCUUGUCCGUACUGGUGAAACUUUAUGCUGCUCUGAAGAGGAUGACUUCUGGUGGCGACUGCCAGGACCACUCUAGACCUGAGUCGAGUUCCUCACCGUUUUAUCCCGAUUGUUCUGCGCGGCCUGUCCCGCCAAGCCCUCGGCCUUCUCACAGGCAGAGAGCACCAAAGGACACCUUUUUGCGGUUCGACGACCCGGUGUGACGGUGGAUGUGAGAAUCCAGGAAGAAGAUCCGGUUGCAUUGCUGGGAUGCCGCGCCUGUCCGGCCACCACCUCCGCAUGGAGGCUGCGGGUUCCUGGGGACCCCACCUAGUUCGGUGCUUCUCUCUCCCUUUACUCUCUUGGCGCAGCAGGGACGCCCAGCUGGAAAUCAAAGCCGGGCGGGAGGGAUUCUGAAGACGCUAGGGGACAUCAGGGACCAGAAUGAGGCUAGGCCUGGAUUCAUCGCCCGGGACGCGGGAGCCACGGGGAGCUGGGCGCAGGCACUGCUCUAAUCGCCGACCGCUAUUAAAAAUAAAACCGCGACCCGUCGUCAUAGCGACCGCAACAACAGCGGCCGCGCGAGGGUGGUAAGAGCUUGUGCAGCCCGGCGCCAGCCGCCUGAGGGGACUGGGGCACGGGCCCUAAAGCUUACAAGGUACUCUGGUGUGAGACAACGACCCCUACCCCCACCCCCACAGCCGACCCCCGACCCCCACUGUUCCUCCUGGUUCUCGCUAGACUCUUGGUCUCUGAAAACUGGAACUGGCUAAGUCAUGAGGUCAAGAGCCUAAAGGACCCGCCGGCUCAAACUACCCCCCACCCCCACCCUAUGCCUCGGCUUCCCUUGGGACCCGUGACAGUCCUCAUUUUAGCCUCUGGAGAAGGGGUUGAGUGAGGGGGUGAGGUUCAGGUGUCAGGCCUCCAAAGAACACCAAGAGACCAAGCCGAGCUGGAGGGGUUGCAUGCGCUCGAGGCCACCGCACCUGUCCCGCCCGCGCCUCCGUGAUCCUUUCUGGUGGGAGAGAUCACGUGCUUCCUUCUGGCUGGGAUUCGAGUUUCACUUCCAGCCGCUAUUAGGCGGUUCACUCGGUUCACUGCAAACAUUUGAUAAUGAGGCUAAAUAUACUUUAGAGUCGGAGGAGGUGUGGGCGGCUGCUGCCCUAGCCUGUAGGUGCGUCGCUCCAGGCUCCAUGGGGCAUCCCCGCCCCAGCAGCUGAGAACAAUCCCCCAAGUCGGAUUCGAGAGAAAGACCCGCACCCACCCAUUCCCCCCAAAAUCCAGUCCUAACUAGGAGCAUCUUAGGGACUGUGGGCGCCUGAGGUCAGCUGGAGGGUCCCUGGAGGAAGUAGGCGGUAAGCAGCCGGGAGCUUAGAAAGGUGGGGAGAGGAACCAGACAGUGCACCUGGCGGUGACCAGAGAUGUCCGGUCGCCCCCAGAACAGAUGCUUCCGUCCUGUCUCCAGUGCCCCCGGCACAGUGCGACAUAUCCUCCCGCCCAUAAUUAAAGUGUCAAGUGUUUCAAAUAGCUCAAGAGAGGGAGUGCGCAGCUGGGGUGACCAGGUAGCAUCUAACCCUUGUUGGUACCCUCUCAACCCAAGACCCAGACUUUACAGAGAAGCUUUGAAAGGAGGGAGACCAUCCAAUUUGCUCAUCAUUUUAAACGUAAAGCACACCUUUUCACCAAAGACUCAUCCACCUAGCUAGUGCCCUUCAACUGCUUGGAACUCAAUUAUCCGUGCUCAAUUAUUGCAGCCAUUGUUACUCAUCAGCUGCAAGGACCGAUACUGAGCUCUGAUACCGAUGCCGGUCUUUUGCCCUGUAAAAUAAUUUCAAACAGCCACCCUGAGGCAAAGGGACUUAGACCCCCUUCCCAAUGAUAGAGCAAGGUGAGACUGGGUCCCAGGCACUGAGUGCCUCAUCCCCUGGGAGAUCCAAGAAUAUGGAGUGGCCCAGGUUGCUUUUGUAUUAGGCAAGUGUGUGAAGGCAAUAUAAAUGGGUAGCUCCAGGACUGCACACCGCACCACUUGCCACACCCCCCUGGAAGGUCUCCCUGCUCUUUGCUGCUUAACUUUGGUCUUGUGUGCUCUGUCCCUGGCUUGCCCUGAAUUCCGUUCCUUUAUCUGGAAAAAUAACCAAAGUGGAAGUCGGUGCUGCGCCCCUGCAGGUGGUCUCUACCCCCAGCAGUCCCCAGCAACCCACUGGACCCUCUCUGUAAGGGUGGGGCCAUCUGGGCCCCAGGCUUCCAGGCUCUGCCAGAGCCAUCCCAGAACAAUUUGUAGUGUUGAAACACCAGUUUCCCUUUAUCUCUGGGCAAAGCUUUCUUGGUUCUGGGCAAUUAACCCAAAUGGAGCCUCAGCCAUGUGGGCUCUAGUCCUUGAAGAUCAAAAGUGCCGGGCCACAAGCCUUAAUUAUGUCAUUAUCUUGCCCCCCUUUUUACCCCCAGGCUAAGGAUCGGGCCUUUCCAGUUCAGGCUCCCCAGAAAACAAGAUAAGUCUGUGCUGGGGUGGGAGGGCACCUCCAGGCUGCUUUCCACUCCCUAGUAAGUGUUUUUAUUUUCACUUUUAACUACACAAACAGAAAUUACAAGUCCACAGUAGGCUGGCGAAUAUUUUGUGAAUGAAGACACACACACACACACACGCACACACCCGUAAAGGAACGUGUAGUGGCUUUGGAGGGAAAAGCCUAGGGGCUAGGGAAUGGACGUGAUAGUGUGCUUACCUGCCAUACACAAGGCCCUGGGUUCUGCUCCCAGCACCAAAUCAAAACAACUCUGGUGAUGCAUACUUGUAAUUCCAGCAUUCUGGAGGCCGGAGUUCAAGGUCAUCCUUGGGACACACAGUGAGCUCAAGGCCAGCCAGGAAUACAUUAGACCCCGUCUUAAAGAGGAAGGAAGGAGAAAGGAGAGGAGAAAAACCUCAGCCAGAUAUGGUGGUGCAGUUCUAUAAUCUUAGUACUCAAGAGGUUGAGUAUUGCUUUAAGAAUAGCCUGGGCUAUCCUUAUAGUAAGAUCCUGUCUCAAAACACACAAAACAAAACAAAGUAGAAACCCAAAGACUAGAGUCAGAAAUUACAGCUUCUCAUGGCCACCAGGCAUUUAGCUGUGUCUGGUCAGAACGGUUGCCUGCAAAGCACGGGGCUUAAGAAAACCCAAUACUCUAGAUCUUACAUAGGGUAGAGAAAAACAUUUUAGUUGUGUGUGUUUUUCAGGUAUAUCUGUGUACCACAUCCCUGCUUGGUGCCUCAAGAGUCCAGAAGAGGGCGUCAGAUCCCAUGAAACUGGAGUUACAGACUCCAGUGAGCUGCCAUGUGCAUGCUGGGAAUCAAACCCAGGUCCUCUAAAAGAGCAGCCGGUGCUCUUAACCAGCCCCCAGAGUAAAUCUUUUUGUUAGUGAUUUCUGUACUAUGGAUUAGAGUGAUAACAUUUUGCAGGUAUGAAGUUUAAUAAAGUAAAUAUGGUUACUA